rnacentral:rRNA from 1 species
GAUGAACGCUAGCGGCAGGCUUAACACAUGCAAGUCGAGGGGUAGAGGCCUUCGGGCCUUGAGACCGGCGCACGGGUGCGUAACGCGUAUGCAAUCUGCCUUCCACAGAGGGAUAGCCCAGAGAAAUUUGGAUUAAUACCUCAUAGCAUCAUGGCCCGGCAUCGGGAUAUGAUUAAAGUCACAACGGUGGAAGAUGAGCAUGCGUCCCAUUAGCUAGUUGGUAAGGUAACGGCUUACCAAGGCUACGAUGGGUAGGGGUCCUGAGAGGGAGAUCCCCCACACUGGUACUGAGACACGGACCAGACUCCUACGGGAGGCAGCAGUGAGGAAUAUUGGUCAAUGGGCGCAAGCCUGAACCAGCCAUGCCGCGUGCAGGAUGACGGUCCUAUGGAUUGUAAACUGCUUUUGUACGGGAAGAAACCCUCCUACGUGUAGGAGCUUGACGGUACCGUAAGAAUAAGGAUCGGCUAACUCCGUGCCAGCCGCCGCCGUAAAAC